rnacentral:rRNA from 1 species
GUGAACGCUGGCGGUAGGCCUAACACAUGCCGGUCGAACGGCAGCACAGUAAGAGCUUGCUCUUACGGGUGGCGAGUGGCGGACGGGUGAGGAAUACAUCGGAAUCUACUUUUUCGUGGGGGAUAACGUAGGGAAACUUACGCUAAUACCGCAUACGACCUACGGGUGAAAGCAGGGGAUCUUCGGACCUUGCGCGAUUGAAUGAGCCGAUGUCGGAUUAGCUAGUUGGCGGGGUAAAGGCCCACCAAGGCGACGAUCCGUAGCUGGUCUGAGAGGAUGAUCAGCCACACUGGAACUGAGACACGGUCCAGACUCCUACGGGAGGCAGCAGUGGGGAAUAUUGGACAAUGGGCGCAAGCCUGAUCCAGCCAUGCCGCGUGGGUGAAGAAGGCCUUCGGGUUGUAAAGCCCUUUUGUUGGGAAAGAAAAGCAGCAGGUUAAUACCCCGCUGUUCUGACGGUACCCAAAGAAUAAGCACCGGCUAACUUCGUG